rnacentral:rRNA from 1 species
CCUACGGGUGGCAGCAGUGGGGAAUAUUGGACAAUGGGGGGAACCCUGAUCCAGCGACGCCGCGUGAGUGAAGAAGUAUUUCGGUAUGUAAAGCUCUAUCAGCAGGGAAGAAAGAAAUGACGGUACCUGACUAAGCAGCCCCGGCUAACUACGUGCCAGCAGCCGCGGUAAUACGUAGGGGGCAAGCGUUAUCCGGAUUUACUGGGGGUAAAGGGAGCGUAGGCGGCGUGGCAAGUCUGAAGUGAAAGGCGGGGGCCCAACCACUGGACUGUUUUUGAAACUGUAUGGCUGGAGUGCAGGAGAGGUAAGUGGAAUUCGUAGUGUAGCGGUGAAAUGCGUAGAGAUUAGGAGGAACACCAGUGGCGAAGGCGGCUUACUGGACUGUAACUGACGUUGAGGCGCGAAAGCGUGGGGAGCAAACAGGAUUAGAUACCCCAGUAGUC